rnacentral:piRNA from 1 species
UACAUCUGAGAAUUUCUGUGUUGGUUGAUGU